rnacentral:lncRNA from 1 species
CAACCCUGGUCUACUUAAAUAGCUAGAAGCCCCUGGGGGUCUCCAUUACAUUUGUAUUUCCCCUUCCUUUUUCCAAGGCGUGCAGUACACAGUGCUGCUUGCAGAGCGAGAGCAUGGCAUUCCCAGCAGGAAGAAACCCACAAAGCAGAGGGACGACUUUAGCACCUACCUGCAAUGCUUUUCUGGAUGCUUUGGAUAUCUAGCAGGAGCUGCUCCCCCCUCUGGUGGUUCUGCAAGAGAGAGCAGAAAUCAAGCAAACGGGCYGGGAAAAGCGGGCAGAAAGCGGCGCUGAAGCCUUGCACGUACAGUGAUGGUGGCCAUAGUGCUGUUGAAACCGUGGAGGCGAGCCCAGGCGAUGGAGCUGGCGUUCAGGUUAACCAGCUGGCCCYGAAUCGAGGGGAAGGACGUCUCGAUGCUCUGCAGAUCUUCCAGCAGGAGCAGGACACAGCUGUCGCACACUGCCGCGGGAAAGGAGCGGUGAGCAGAGCGCCCUUUCCCUGGCUUCCCUGGCCACCUUCCCCAGGACUGCAGGAGGGACGCAGCCUCCUUUUCCAGCCAGGCCACCCCAACCCUACUACACCACCACGUYUGGGCAGAAGGGAGAGGGGAGGAUGGGUCACAGCACGAUACAGACCUUCGCACCUCAUGCUGUCCGGGCUGUUUGCCACGAGGACCUCGUGCUUCUCCUGGCAGACGUCGCACUGCUUCCCCGCCAGGCCGUUGGGGCAGGUGCACUCGCCCGUGCGCGGGUCGCAGGAGCCGCCUUUGCACUCGCACUCUGCCGGCGAGAGAGGGGAGGCUGGAGCGGCCCCGCCGGGCGCCGCCGCGGCCCUAACCCGCACCGGGGAGCGCGGCGGUUUGCUGCGACAAAGCAAACCUCCAYCCCGGGAGCAGGCACUAAGGGCUGGGUUUGCGGGUUUUGAGUGGGAGAAGGAUCAGCUCAAUCUUUGCUUUCAACCCUAAAGGUUAGAAAGAGGAAAACAGCAGUGGCAUUGUUUUGUGCUGCUGCCAUGCUGGAGRGAGGGG